AGAGAAAGGAAAAAUGACGCCAAAACUAUCAACCGUGUUAUCUUUCACAUGUUUGGUGUUAAUCAUUCUCACUAAAGGUUGUGAAGGACAAUCGUGUACAGAAUCCGAGUUAAAGAAAUGCAACCCAACCUAUCAUAUACAUAAAGUGGGACUAGGUGUACAGGUAUAUACUUGCAGUGGAUUAUCAAGCAACGUCACCUGUGUACAAAAAGUAGUAAACGAUUGUGAAUCAAACUUAGAUGCACCUGGAAAUCGCA